AUGAGAAAUAAAAAGCAGCCUUCGCCAGAGCAGAGGCAUUGGUAGGUGGACAAUAUUUGAACAGAAAAUUAUCAGUUUUUGCGAAGUUAGAUACAACGAAGCCAAAAUGGAGUGCCUCUAGAAAUGUCAAAUAAGGCGGGGAGGAGGGGCGUCAAAAGUUGAUUCAUUUCCGUGUGGAGAUGGUGGCGAGCAAGCAUCAUCAAAAUCCCAUUUGAUCAAUUUCCCACUUCUCAUCUGCGCAUUUUCAGCCCAUUCCCUCUCAUAUACUUUAGUGAGGAAAAAGAAUACAAGAGGAUGAUUUGUUAUUGGAAAAUUCAACAAGAAGCUUCCUCUAUUGAACACUGUUCUUUUGGGGCACAAAUGGGUGGUCUUAAAUGAGUUCAGGGUGGCUGUGUGCCUUUUUAAAAGGGUGGAUGAUUGGCUCUCAAAAAUGCUGUGGCUUGAAAGGAAAAGGUUUUAUGGAGAUGUGCUACUCGCACUCCACUGUACAAUCUUUGGAAAGAAAAGAAUCAAUCAGUCAUCAAAGAUAAAGCUGUCUUCUUUUUGGCUUUGAUGGUUUACAAACCACACAAAUUCUUCUGUAGUCAUAGGCUUUUUGAUGAUUAUUAACGAUUGGAUGACUCGUGUUUUAGUUCUUUGAGUAUGAUUCUCUCUACCUGACUCAUAUGUUCUUAUGUUGUUCUUCGAUUCUUCGAUGAAUAUACAUCUUUUGUGCCAAA